GAUGAACGCUGGCGGCGUGCCUAAUACAUGCGAGUCGAGCGAACAGACGAGGAGCUUACUCCUCUGACGUUAGCGGCGGACGGGUGAGUAACACGUGGAUAACCUACCUAUAAGACUGGGAUAACUUCGGGAAACCGGAGCUAAUACCGGAUAACAUGUUGAACCGCAUGGUUCAACAGUGAAAGACGGUCUUGCUGUCACUUAUAGAUGGAUCCGCGUCGCAUUAGCUAGUUGGUAAGGUAACGGCUUACCAAGGCAACGAUGCGUAGCCGACCUGAGAGGGUGAUCGGCCACACUGGAACUGAGACACGGUCCAGACUCCUACGGGAGGCAGCAGUAGGGAAUCUUCCGCAAUGGGCGAAAGCCUGACGGAGCAACGCCGCGUGAGUGAAGAAGGUCUUCGGAUCGUAAAACUCUGUUAUUAGGGAAGAACAAAUGUGUAAGUAACUAUGCACGUCUUGACGGUACCUAAUCAGAAAGCCACGGCUAACUACGU
rnacentral:rRNA from 1 species